rnacentral:lncRNA from 1 species
CUGGCAGAGCCAUCAGUGAAAUCGAUGCCCGCCCUCCUCCUCCUGCCAGCCAAUAGUAGGGCUGCACUGGGAGAUGCCAUGGCAACGUUGGGCCCUCCUGCCCUGGUGGCCAGCUCCGCCCUCUCCUCCCGCGGUGGGCGCCAUGUUGUGGGCGGCAGCGCAGGGCGCGCCGGGGCUCUGCGCCCUGGGGGCCGUGUGGGGCGCAGGGGGCAGCACUGGGGCCUGUGCUGGUGGCAGCCCUGGUGCCGGUGUGGGGGCCCUGGGGCUGGCCGGGGCACCGGAGCCCACAGGCAGCGUCCUGUUGCCCCCAGGGCAGGGCAGGGCAGGGCAGUGUCCUCUCGCCCCUCCUUCCCCAUCAGGACCCUCAGGCAGGGCUCUCGUGGCAGCCCCCAGCCCUGUCCAGCCACCCCCACAGCCCAGCAUCCACAGCAGUUUUGGCAGUUAACAGUCUCUGUGCGACACCUUGGGAAGGAGCUCCAGAAGCCCUUACCAUCGGUGGAGAGGAGCCUCAGGAGCGUUGGGAACAAGGAACAGCAGUGUGGGCUGAUAGUAUCGGUCCAGCAGUCGUCCAUCUCACUUGCCUCCUUGCCCUCGUUUCACCUCUCCAGCUGGGGAGGAAGGACACUCUUCCCAUCUCAUCACCAAAACACCCCUCCGACGUGCCCCUACUCCUCUGCCUGUCGGUGAAGGUCCCAACGUGGCUCCCGUCCCUCCUCCUUACCAUGGCAUGGCUCCAAACGGCAGCAGUGAGGAGCGCAUCAGCAGUGCCCAGCAGCAACUGGGCCUCACAGGGAUGUGAGGACAUCGCUGCAGAACCAGGGAGACCUCCCUGUGAUGCGGCACAUCCCACUGUGACCUCGGCUUGUGUCAUCUGAGGGCUCAGUAGGUCGCUGCCAUGGAGAUGGCCCAGCCAGGGAGAGAGCAGAGAGAUUUCUCCUGACAUCCUGGAAGCAGUCACCUCCCUUCACCGCAGUUAUUUUCCAAAACUUGCUGAUAAAUC